UUUUUUCUUUCUCUCUUUCGUCGCUAUCCCCUUGGCCUCACCAACUCCAACAUCUCCAUUGCAAGCAUCCUCGUCAGUGUUGAGGCCAGGCCCAGCCACAGAAUCCUCAACAUGGGUUGCAGUGUUGGCGAGCCCAUGCGCGCCAUCAAUGUCCUUGGCGUCAUCAGCAUCACCAUCAUUCGCGAAAGGAUGCACAACAAGAAGGCUAGCUUGGACUCUCUUUGCCAGAUUGUCACAACAAAUCCGUGUGUGCAAGGCCAUGGAUUCUGAACAUGAGGUGCGAAUUUCUGGAUCUAAGGUGCGAAUGCAUUUUUAGAUCUGAAGCGUGAAGUGCAUUUUCAGAUCUGAGGCACGAGUACGAGGAUGACGAUAGGUGGUGGUCUUUGACACGCCAACGCGAAAGGUUCGAGCUUAGGGAUUUUGGGCGAUGGGGGAAGGUUUUCCGAUGAGAAAAACCAAGCUGCAAGGGAAGGUCACACUUGACCGUGAGUGGUGCCGACGGUGCCGGCAAAACAACAGAGAAGACGAAAGGAAAGAGGACAAUGCAUUUUAAUUUUUUUUAUUGAUGUAUUAUGUUUUUUUUAUUAAUUUAUUUCUGUGUAGUCUCCAGUUAUUUUAACCGUUAAUUAUAUCUAAUGUACCAUAUUAGAUCA